UAGGGAAUCUUCCGCAAUGGACGAAAGUCUGACGGAGCAACGCCGCGUGAGUGAAGAAGGAUUUCGGUUCGUAAAACUCUGUUGUUAGGGAAGAAAAAAUGUAUAGUAACUAUAUACAAAAGAGACGGUACCUAACCAGAAAGCCACGGCUAACUACGUGCCAGCAGCCGCGGUAAUACGUAGGGGGCUAGCGUUGUCCGGAAUCACUGGGCGUAAAGGGUUCGCAGGCGGAAAUGCAAGUCAGGUGUAAAAGGCAGUAGCUUAACUACUGUAAGCAUUUGAAACUGCAUAUCUUGAGACGAGUAGAGGUAAGUGGAAUUUUUAGUGUAGCGGUGAAAUGCGUAGAUAUUAAAAAGAAUACCGGUGGCGAAGGCGACUUACUGGGCUCAUUCUGACGCUGAGGAACGAAAGCGUGGGUAGCAAACAGG
rnacentral:rRNA from 1 species